AUUGAACGCUGGCGGCAGGCUUAACACAUGCAAGUCGAGCGGAGAUGAGGUGCUUGCACCUUAUCUUAGCGGCGGACGGGUGAGUAAUGCUCAGGAAUCUGCCUAUUAGUGGGGGACAACAUUCCGAAAGGAAUGCUAAUACCGCAUACGUCCUACGGGAGAAAGCAGGGGAUCUUCGGACCUUGCGCUAAUAGAUGAGCCUAAGUCGGAUUAGCUAGGUGGUGGGGUAAAGGCCUACCAAGGCGACGAUCUGUAGCGGGUCUGAGAGGAUGAUCCGCCACACUGGGACUGAGACACGGCCCAGACUCCUACGGGAGGCAGCAGUGGGGAAUAUUGGACAAUGGGGGGAACCCUGAUCCAGCCAUGCCGCGUGUGUGAAGAAGGCCUUACGGUUGUAAAGCACUUUAAGCGAGGAGGAGGCUACUGAGACUAAUACUCUUGGAUAGUGGACGUUACUCGCAGAAUAAGCACCGGCUAACUCUGUGCCAGCAGCCGCAGUAACAC
rnacentral:rRNA from 1 species